AAUAGAGUGCAUCGCUGAAAGAAAUGAAAUCCUGAAAUGUAAGCAAGCAUCCAGAACAAAGGGAACUGUGCUCCCACUGCCCUCUGCUGUCUUCAAAGCCACACCUAGAAUGCCGUGUACCAUUCUGGACAAAGCAUUUUAGAAUGGAGGAGGAUGAUGAGAUCAAAACAGGAUUCCAAACCAUUUUGAACAAGGAUCCACCAAGGAAUAGAGGAUGUUCAGGCUGGAAAAGAGAAGUCUCAGGGAGGAACAUGGCAGACAUCAUCAGUUUAUUUGAGGCAGGUUAAAGGGAUUCUUUCUUACAUCAGGCUUCUCAAGGCUAUAAGGAACAGGCUUAAGACUAUACAUGAAGAGUCCUGAGUGCACUGGAUUAACCACAAAACUGUUCUAGUUAGAAGACCUCCAGCCAUGUAGCCUGACGAGCCAAUGCCAACAUGAGAAGCCGCUGACAAUUCCCCCUGUGCCAUUAUGAUGCCCUUCUCACGACCCUUGGUCAGCAGUAGGUGUAUAUACUGCCCUCCUGUCAGCAGAGAUGACCCUUAUCUUGUCCCCUGUGGCCACUCAUGGAAUGUCUGCAUGUCAUUUGAGGAGCACCUUGACCCUUUGUCAUUUGAGUAAGAUUCUGUGUGUUCGAUGAUUUCACAACUUCUGCCUGUUAUUAAAGCUUGGAUGGAGAACUGC